GAUCAAGUGCUUCACAUAUUCUCUUAUAUUCUCCCUCUAUGUUGACUCAUGCUUCAUGAAACUACAUUCUUAGAAGUUUCACUUAAGCAUGGUUACUUUGAAUUUUUGUACUCACAUAACAUCUAGGAUUUUACCUAAUAAAAAUUGGAUGCUACCUCCCCUGUAGUCUUUUAGUAUUAUGUGAACUAUGGCAAAGAGCACCCUAUGUGACUUGGAUUUGAUUCUCAAUACUUGAUUUUACUACUGCAAAGACAUUUACAUAUUGCGGCACACUCUGUGGCCUUAGAAUUAGAUAACUCUUUGCCAAUUUUUACAUUAUAGGAGGAGAAUCAUAAGACAAGCAACCCAUUUAAUGGAAGGAAGUAGUUGGGAUAACAAUGGAAGUGGUGAUCCCGAUUUUGGGAUCUUUUGUUAUUGCGGAGAACCAACAAUAUUGAGGAAAUCUGGAACACAAAAGAACCCAGGUCGAAGGUUCUUCGGAUGUGCAAAUUAUAAGGGCUAAUUUGGGGCCAAUGAUGGUUCAGAAAAAAAAAAAGGCUGUGAGGACUGUUGAACAAUGUGAGAGUUCAGCAUCCAUGAGCAUUAGUGAAGAAAUGCAGAGGACAACAAUCACAAUGCAGAUGAAGAUUGAAGCCAUGCAGAAGGAGAUUGAUGCAAUGCGAAAGAGAAUGAGAAAUGAGGGGAAAAUGAACUGGAAUUACCUUUGGAUUAUUUUUUUUUGUGUUGUGUCGUACAUGUGUGGCAAAAGCAGCCAGUGAUCUCAAGUAGUGGUAGUGGUAGUAGUAGUAGUAUCUCUUAACCGGAACUAGCAUUUGGCCGCAUGAUUGUGUAGUUGACCGCUUUUGAAUAGUAUUUUUGUGAGCUACUGGAAUGUGCCACCAUUGAAACUUGCACUUUGAUUUCUU